UGCGUAGGCGGACUAAUAAGUCAGUGGUGAAAUCUCUCGGCUCAACCGGGAAACUGCCAUUGAUACUGUUAGUCUUGAGUUCGGUUGGGGUAGGCGGAAUGUGUAAUGUAGCGGUGAAAUGCUUAGAUAUUACACAGAACACCAAUUGCGUAGGCAGCUUACUAGACCGACACUGACGCUGAGGCACGAAAGCGUGGGUAGCGAACAGGAUUAGAUACCCUGGUAGUCC
rnacentral:rRNA from 1 species